rnacentral:lncRNA from 1 species
GUGCCCAGCUGAGAGCAAUUUUUAAAAGAUAAGUAUAUGAGUUUUCAUUCUGUUUCAUACUUACUGAGCUAUUUUUACCAAAGUAUCAAAAUGUAACAAAAAUCAACUCUCUGAUUUCAUAUCAUUUUACAGAAUUAAGAUAAAAUCUAAUCUCAAUCCAGGGAACAAGAUUAAUAAUUGUAGAUUUUGGAUUUUUUUUUUUUUUUGCUAUAAACAAACAAACUAAUUAUAACAGGCUUUAUCCUUAAUAAAGUUAGUUAGGUCCAAGAGAAAUAAAAAUGUGAGAAAGCAAGAAUUUCAGUGGAAGUCAAAUUGUUAUACAACACUCUACUUCUUUGAAUUAUUGGCAUUUAUGUUCUUAGAAGAGUCAUCUCCAUGAUACAGGCGUCAGUGAGAAUGUUAAAAUAUUUUUGAGGCCUAGGGAAAAUGUAUGCCAAUUAAUUAACUUGUUUUUAUCUGUGAUUCUCUCAUAUGUUAAAUUUAAUAAGUUAAAUAAUUACAUAAAGCAAGCUUCUCAAAAAUAGAAGCCUCCUUUUUAAAGAAGGGAAAUAAAAAUACAGAACUUAGGUUAAAGUUAACUUAGCAUCUAAAUAAAGCACAAAAAUUUAAUCAUAUAAAACAUUAGUAUUAUUGUACCAAGGAUGUGGUGGAAGAGAAUAUUUUAAAAUAGAUUUUAAUACACUUGGGUGGGACUUCUGCUGUUAAUUUGCUGUAUGACUCUAGGUAGCUCACAUAAACUCUCUGGUUUCCCUCUCCACAAAAUGAGGAGUUUUAGCUAUUUAAAGUUAAACAACAUCUUCAUGAUAUAAAUAUUUUAUUUUUUUAUUUUAUCACAGGGAAAAUUUAAAAUCAGGCAUCAAUAUGAAUAUGCAGAGUGGUUUUAUGAGCUGUCUUUUAAAAUGGAAUAGGGCAAAAAUCAAAUAUAUUAGGCUUGUUGAUGUUUCUCAGAUUUCCUGUCAUUUUAACAGACUAACUGGUCACUCAUCAAGAUGAAAAUCACAUUAAUAGAAAACAAUUGUUCCUUACAAAAAUGUGUUUGAAAAGCUUUGUAUCAUUUUAAUGGGUCUCAAAUUAACCUACCUAUUCUGUCAAGGAUAUGAGAUAGCUCCAUGACUAAUAUUUUAUUCUUUGUGAAUAUUUCCUUCCCAAGUUCUACCACAGUUAAUAUCUAAUGUCUAAAAUUUUUUCAAACAUUGCCUUGCAGUCCUUCUUAAAUAAUUUCACUGAAAACGUGUGCCUUAUUUAUCUGUAUCAGAAUUAAAUCACCGUGAUUACAAAUUCCUUAAUAGCAAAGGUCAAAAGAGAAGUUAAAAUAUUUUCCUUGUAUUUUUAAAACUCAGAAGUUAACAUAUUGUCCUUGUAUUAUUAAAACUCAAAAGAGAACUUAAAAUAUUGUCCUUGUAUUAUUAAAACUCAUAGUCCUUCAUAAGGACUAUGAAUAUAUGAAAAUACAAAAAUAUUCAGUAGGAAAAUACAAAAAUAUUCAGUAGUAGCUACUUUAUUCAAUAAAUCAGUCAGUCCAUUGUGAACCAAUAUUUAGAGUGUCUACCAUGGGUGGGGCACUGAUCUACAUACCUGGGGCACAAGGAGGAUUACUGUGCUUGAGGAUAUUAUUUUCUAGUAGAAGGAGACAAGCAAUAAAUAACUAACAGAAUUUAUGGGUGUAUUACAUAGCAUGUUAAGAUGAUUAGAAAAAAGAAAGUGCACAGCAAACAGUGUGUUCGGGAGUGCUGGGGGACAGAAUGAGGAAGUCCAUUGCAGAUUUAAAUGGGGUGGUCAAGGAGGGCUUCAUUGAGGAGACAUCUGAGCAAACAUUUCAGAGGUCAGAGAACUAGUCAUGAGGGCAUCGCAGGGAGAUGCAUGCCCAGUGGGGAGAGCAGUUCUUGCAAUGGCCCUAUAGCAGGAGUGCCUAGUUUGUUGGAGGAACAGCAAGAGGGACAUUGGGGCUGGAGCAGAGCAAAGCAAGGUGGAGAGUUGUAUGAGAAAGGGCCAGAGAGAGAACAGGGAGUGACAGCUUUGCAGUCUACCGUAAAGACCUUGGUGUUUAUUCCGAGUGAAAUAUGGAGCCUUUGAAAAAUUUUGAGCAGAGAGUGAAUAAGAUUCGACUUAUAUUUGAAAGGGAUCACUCUGUUGGUCAUAUUCAUAAUAGACUGAAUGGGAAGGCACGAGCAGAACCAGGGAGAGCAGUUAGAAGGCAAUUGCAAUAAUUCAGGGACAAAGUGAUGGUGGCUUAGACCAUUAUGGUGGCAUAGAAGUGGUGAGAAAUAGUCAGAUUUUAAACAUGCUUUGAAAGUAGAACCAAAGGAUGGUUGUGUUUGCUUCCUGGGAAGGGUUGAGCUUAUAACAAGCGUCUUGGUUGUGAAUUGAAUUCUGUUGAUAUAGUUGAAAUUCUGAGUGCUUGAGCCUCCUCACCUUUUCCAAUGAUGAAGAGAGAAUGCCUAGGGUAGCCAUCUUAGUUCAGUGUGGGCUCAUGUUUGACCCUCAUUAAGGAUGGGAAGAAUUUGUUCCAAAUAUGUGGGCUUCAUUUUGCAUCCUGUUGAUGGAUGUUCUUUAUCAUAAUAAGAAAUGUGUAUUUCAUGAAAUCAAAAGUUCCUUUGGUGAAGGAAGUCUGUUAUAGUCUUCAAAAACAUAAUUAUCAAAAUGGUUUGUUUACUAUAACAUUUAGAGUCAGUGUAAAAGAUCAAUGAAUGAAGUGGCUUCUAGAGACGGACAUGACAGUUGCAAAUCUCCGUGCUGCUACGUAACUAGUUUAUCUUAUUUACUUUAUUAACCCUAUCUUAUAGCAUUGUCAGCAAUAAAGAAAUUUACAUAUCUGAAUAACUUGGAACUUUCUACAUAAUACUAUGCUAUUAGGAUUUAAUUAAAUGGAUGCCAACAGCAAGUAAACCAUCUCCAAAGAUGCCAUGAAGCUCUCCUAAUUGCAGGAAAAUAUCAGAGGCACUUGAUUUGAGUCUUUCAAGUACGGAAAUAACAAAUUCAGUCUCAACAGACCUAUAGUGAAUGAGAAUGAUUGUCACAUAAUGUGUAGAGAAAAUGGAAGAAUCAAAGGCAAGGGAAACCUGUACAGUGGAGACACAAAGGGUCACUGGCAGAUUUCAAAUGAUCCAAGACAUCCUCAAGGAAGAUUUACCACAAGUUACUUUAUCAUAGCUUUGAGUGGCAUUUUAAUAUCAUAUUUUAAAAGAAAGAAAACAAUAGAAAUGUAUUAAAAUAUCUUCUCAAGAAUCCUUCCAAACCACAAGGAAAAUCACCAGGCCAAAAGUGAGGUUUGAAGUCUGGACAUGUACUGGUUUUCUCUAGCAAUCGACUCUCAAUUUUUGGACAUUGAGAUCUGCUGGUUGGAGAUCUUAGUGCCCAAGGAAGAAUGCUUGCAAAAGGAGAUGGAACAGUGUUUCUGUUGCAUUGGCCACUGAGAAUAUCUGGUUAUUUUGAAUUUGUCACAGUCUGCAGCUAAAAGGCGAACAGGAAAAGAAGAGAGAGCGGUAAUUUGAAUGAUAGCAGAUUUCACAUCAGGAACCAAUGAAGCUAGAUAAGAAUGCAACAUCUUUGAUGUCUAAAAGAAACAAAAAGCCAACCUUGAAUUCUUUAUUUAGUGAAGUUACCCUUCAGAAAUGACGGCAAAAUAAAGAUGUUUUCCAAUAAAAGACAACUAUGAGAAUUCUUCACCAGCAGUCCUAUUGUAUCAGAACAGCCAAAAGAAGUUUGUCAGCCUACAGGGAAUUAUAUCAAAGGGAAGACUUGACCUUGAAAAUGAAUGAGGAAUAUAAGAAAUUGAUAUUAUCUGGGAAGCGGCACAUGAGACUAGCAGGAGUAAAUGUUAUAUACACUGGGCCUCGCAAAAAUUCUGCAAUCACUGGGAAUCAGUAACCUGGUAGAAUGAGAAAACAACGUAAUACUGAAAAAUCAAAACACCAUCCUACAGAACUUUGAUGCAUUCAGAACAAAGAUCACGAAUCAAGCUGAAAAAGUAAAGCAUUCUGUGAGUUGUGGAAUGGAAAUUGCCUCAACCAUCUCACCACUUGAUGACACUUGUAAUUUCAGUGACCCAAUUCAAGCAAUCAAACAUCAAGUAAUACUCUCAAUAAAGAUGUGUAAUUAAAACAGAAGAGGAAACAGACUAACAGAAGUGAUGAAGAAUGGCAGUUCUAAGGAUGGCAGGAAUUCACUGAAUGUCUAUCUAUCAUGUAUGCUGUUGGAGGCACCUGUCUUUCAGUUCAGAGGUUAUGGAUGUAUCUAUCAUCAGUAUUUCGGGAAGUCAGGGACCCGGAACAGAGGGACUUAAUGAAGCUGUGGCAGAAGAAAAAAUUAUGAAGAUUUCAUGGACAUUUAUUAGUUCCCCAAAUUAAUACUUUUAUAAUUUCUUACA